rnacentral:rRNA from 1 species
GACGAACGCUGGCGGCGUGCUUAACACAUGCCAGUCGAACGGAAAGGCCCCUUUGGGGGUCCUCGAGUGGCGAACGGGUGAGUAACACGUGAGUAACCUGCCCUUGACUUCGGGAUAACUUCAGGAAACUGGGGCUAAUACCGGAUAGGAAUCCUUGCUGCAUGGUGGGGGUUGGAAAGCUUCGGCGGUUUUGGAUGGACUCGCGGCUUAUCAGCUUGUUGGUGGGGUAGUGGCUUACCAAGGCUUUGACGGGUAGCCGGCCUGAGAGGGCGACCGGCCACAGUGGGACUGAGAGACGGCCCAGACUCCUACGGGAGGCAGCAGUGGGGAAUAUUGCACAAUGGGCGGAAGCCUGAUGCAGCAACGCCGCGUGCGGGAUGACGGCCUUCGGGUUGUAAACCGCUUUCAGCAGGGGCGAAGCUUGUGGUGACGGUACCUGCAGAAGAAGCACCGGCUAACUACGUG